GUUCAGUUUAAGACUCCUUUCUAUAAGGAGAGCUUUUGCCACAGCUUUGUCCAUGUAAAUUUUACUUCCCUCCCAGGUAACCAGCUGAAUUGAUUCUGUUCAUGAAGUUGUUAAGGGUCAAAGGUUCUUGCAUCUUACUAUUUCACCAUCUCUGGGGGGUUGCCCUUUCCUACAUGGUGGACUACAAUGUCUGCGUGUUCCAACCAACAGGAAAAGGAGAUGAAGACAAUGUCUUUCACUUGACCUACCGAGGAAGGCCCUGGGAUGUUGGAGUCCCACACGUGGAUGGCUGCUUCAGAUGCGGGGCGAUGAUCAUCCGGGACGUUCAGGAAGGCAGCUGUGCGGCUUUCACGAGUUGUUUCAACACAGUGAAGGGAAGCCAGAAAGCCCGCUUCCGAGGCAAGAAUGGAAGGAGGUGAGGGGAGGCUGCCACCGACGGAUCGAGAAAGCACAUCCGAAGGCUUGCUCCGCGUACUGUUUCGGGUAACAAAUCUCAAUCUGUUCUGGUCCCCACUUCAAAGCCCACGUGAGCAAGUGAGGGGGGUGAGGAGGUGACAGUGGUGAAGCUGAGUCCCAAGAGUUCAUUCACACUGUGGGAAGGUGGUCUGGGAAUCCUCGCAGACACUCCCUGAAGGGAUGAGGUGUUGCGCUGAAGAGAAGACCAAGGAUGGCUGGGGGUCACCAGAAGUGAAACAAGAGCAAUAGGAGAGAUGACGGGGGAGAGUGACGGCCACUGUGGGUAACCUGAGAAGCCGGCCUGGCCAGGGGAGCCUUCCCAGAGAGCACAACACCUGAGCUAAGACCGAAGGUAGAUGUCCGUGAAGCCCACAGUGUGGACAGGUGUGUCUGUUUCCUGGGCUGAGGUAACAGAGGACCACGGCCUGGGUGGUUACGGCAACAGAAAUUUAUUGUCUCACAGUUCCAGAGGCCACUGUGCCUCUGUGUCUCUGUGUAUUGUCUCACGGUUCCAGAGGCCAGAAGGCUGAAAUCAAGGUGCUGGCAGGGCCACAUCCCCUCUGGAGGUUCUAGGGGAGACUCGCUUCCUGGCUUCUUCCACCUUCUGGCGAUGCCUGGCUGCCUUGGCUUGGGUCACGGCAUUCCAAGCUCUGCUUCCACUUUCACGUGGUCUUCUCCUCUUUUAUUGCUUUUAAUGAUGUUCUCCUUGGAUUUAGGCCCUACCAGAUAGCACAGCAUAAUCUCCUCUCAAGGUAUUUAAAUCAAUUAUAUUGGCAAAGACCCUCUUUUUUUUUUUUUUUUUUUUUAAGAUUUUGUUUAUUUAUUCAUGAGAGACACAGGGAGAGGGAGAAGCAGGCUCCAGGCAGGGAGCCCGACGUGGGACUCGAUCCUGGGACUCCAGGGUCAUGCCCUGGGCUGAAGCCAGGCACUUAACCGCUGAGCCACCCAGGUGUCCCAAGACCCUCGUUUUAAAUAAGGUAACGUUCACCAAUUCCUGGGGUUAGAAUGCGAGCAUAUCUUUGGAGGGGGCUCACCAUUCAACCCAUUCAGAGGGUUUCUGGGAGAGAACAAACUUCUUAACAGAAGGCCUUUGAUGGUGUCUCGGCCGUCUUUGACACAUUCUUCCUCUGCCCCGAAGUGGGAUUAACUGCUUUCAUUCCCACAGAUGACAGGUCUGCUAGGCCUCCAUGCCUGUGUAUAUGCGGCUCCCCUUUCAGUUUUCAUCAAGUUGGCUGCUGGAAGGAAAUCAGUGGGAUUGAGUGGUUGUUGGAAAUGGGUUUUGGGGUAAGACAAACAAGCUCUCUGGUUCCACAUGUUUGUAUUUCAUCAAUAAAAGCUUCUUUUGGACAAUCCA
rnacentral:lncRNA from 12 species